AUGGCAACUAUUAUGAUGGCCUCGGCUAUGGCUGUGGCUAUGGUGGCCUGGGCUUUAAUCUUGACUGAGAUUGUGGCUGAUAUGACUGCUGCCACCCAUCUUACUUAUGCAGAUUCUAGACUUAUGGAUUCUACUGAGAAAUUUCUGAAGUCAGUUGAAACCCAAGAAGUCAACAAACGAAAGCUUGGAAGAAAGGACUGUACGAUAUACAUCACAUCACGUAGCCAGGACAUCAUUUCAAGAAAAUAAAUAUGGUGAAAACUCUGGAUGAUGAACAAGCAGACAAGAAGGAAAUUUUAGCAGCUUAUUGGAAAAAGUGGACAGACUCUUACACCUGAUAGACCAGACAGGCAUCUGAAGCAUCUCAGAAAAGGGCUGAAAGCCCACUCUGCGUUCUGCCUGCGGUUUUCACGGGUGUGAAUACGGGUCUCCCAUUUCUUCUGCCCUUCCUCUGCUUCUGGGAAAGUCCGGAUGGGGGGUUGGGGACGUGGAAUUCCCCUAAGCAAUCAAUCCCCUCCAGACAAUAGUCGCCUUAUGGAUUCUUCUUCAGUACUGUAGGGCCAGCUGUAACCCUUCCUCGGUUCAGCGAGUUCCUUUUGAUAAAAGACAGGAAAGACUAUCUUGGGCUAGGGAAGAAGAAAAGAGGCUGUGUCCUGCAUUCAGGUCUUGUUUGCUCAUCCCAUAGCACAUAAAUUUAUUUAUUUAUUUAUUUGAAAGGCAAUGUUACAGAGAGGAAGAGAGAGGUCUUCCAUCCGCUGAUUCACUCCCCAAAUGAGGAUGCAACAGCUGGAGUCGCGCCAAUCCAAAGCCAGGAGCCAGGAGCCUCUUC
rnacentral:lncRNA from 1 species